GACGAACGCUGGCGGCGUGCUUAACACAUGCAAGUCGAACGGGAAGGCCCUGCUUAUGUGGGGAGCUCGAGUGGCGAACGGGUGAGUAACACGUGUGUAACCUGCCCUUGACUUUGGGAUAACUUCAGGAAACAGAGGCUAAUACCGGAUAGGAGCUCCUGCUGAAUGGUGGGGGUUGGAAAGUUUCGACGGUUGGGGAUGGACUCGCGGCGUAUCCGCUUGUUGGGGGGGUAGUGGCUUAGCAUGGCUUUGACGGGUAGCAGGCCUGGUAGGGUGACCGGCCACAUUGGGACUGGGAUACGGCCCAGACUCCUACGGGAGGGAGCAGUGGGGAAUAGUGCACUAUGGGCGGAAGCCUGAUGCAGCAACGCCGCGUGCGGUAUGACGUCCUUCGGUUUGUAUUCCGCUUUCGCCUGUGACGAAGCGUGAGUGACGGUAAUGGGUAAAGAAGCACCGGCUAACUACGUG
rnacentral:rRNA from 1 species